rnacentral:rRNA from 1 species
UGUGCUUUGCAGAGGGUGUUUCGGCGCUGGCCUUAGCCUAAGUCCCUUGGAAUAGGGCGUCAUAGAGGGUGAGAAUCCCGUAUGUGGCUUGUGGUCCUCGCCUUGUGAAGCCCCUUCGACGAGUCGAGUUGUUUGGGAAUGCAGCUCUAAAUGGGAGGUAAAUUUCUUCUAAAGCUAAAUACUGGCCAGAAACCGAUAGCGCACAAGUAGAGUGAUCGAAAGAUGAAAAGCACUUUGGAAAGAGAGUCAAAAAGCACGUGAAAUUGUUGAAAGGGAAGCGCUUGCAGCUAGACUUGUCUGCAGUUGCUCAUCUAGGGCUACCCCUGGUGCAAUCUUCUGUAGGCAGGCCAGCAUCAGUCUAGGUGGUUGGACAAAGGCUCUAGGAAUGUAGCUCCCUCUGUGGAGUGUUAUAGCCUAUAGCGUAAUGCAGCCAACUUGGACUGAGGCCUGCGCUCCUGCUAGGAUGCUGGCGUAAUAGCUGCAAGCGGCCCGUCUUGAAACACGGACCAAGGAGUCUAACAUCUAUGCGAGUGUUUGGGUGUCAAGCCCAAGUGCGGAAUGAAAGUGAACGCAGGUGGGAACCAUUUGGUGCACCGUCGACCGAUCCUGAAGUCUUCGGAUGGAUUUGAGUAAGAGCAUAGCUGUUGGGACCCGAAAGAUGGUGAACUAUGCCUGAAUAGGGUGAAGCCAGAGGAAACUCUGGUGGAGGCUCGCAGCGGUUCUGACGUGCAAAUCGAUCGUCAAAUUUGGGCAUAGGGGCGAAAGACUAAUCGAACCA